CCUUUUGUUAAUGGUUCACUGUUAUUUUAAACAAAUUUUAGCCAGUAGGCUUUAUAUUGGGAAAAACAUUGUAGUAAUUUCAUUGACAUAAAU